GAAGAGGGUUACAAAAGCAGAAAUCCCCUUGGACAAUUCAAAUCAAAGAUGAAGAACUGCUGCUCAUAACGCACGGCUGGAAUUGCUCCCACAUGCCAAGAAAGCACUGUCCUGCUGUGAUUUACUGGACGCUGCUAAACAGAGAUCUCUGGCUGGAAAACCCAAGGCUGGACGCUGAGCAGAUGGCAAUGGUGGCUGAGAUUUAUCGGAAAGGAGACGUUCUUGUCUUGGUGCAGCUCAUACUUUACGAGUGCUUGCCACCUUCUGGUUUGAGAAAGGAUUACAA
rnacentral:lncRNA from 1 species